GCCUGGCUCUGCCAAUGAGGUGGGCCACCGCGGUGACCCUGGGACGAAACCCAGUCACCCUGGGGCUGCCGGCUGAGCCUCCGCUGACCAAGGAGCAGAGGCCGCCGGAUGAGCCUCUGGGAUCGGGCCUCGGUUUGGGCGAUGAAGGACUCUGUUAACAUCCUUCGAACGUGUCCUCCUGGUCAGGCUCGCCCAUGGGACCUGGAGAAACACACCGGCUCUGUGGUCUUCCACCAGGAUGGACGCAGCUGCAGCAGAGCUGUCGUUGACCAUGGUCAUGUCACACAGGCCACCCCUGAUGAUGGAGAAGACGGUUAAAAUGGGCAAAGGGAUCGUGGUCGCAGCGUCACGUGAAGAGAUAAGAUUUGGAUACGUUGCUUCGCGGCUAAAUGACCGAGGCUGGCCUCCAACUUGCGAUCCUCCAGCCUCAGCCUCCCGGGCCACUGGGAAUGACAGGCAUGUGGCACCCUCUUCCCCCUCUGUGAAUUCGAUUGCUGCUGGGGAUUCAGGACCAUCUGAAUUGCAAAUCACACACCAAACAAACUUGGGGGAAUAGAGAGACCCAGCCGAAUGGGGACCCUGCACGGCCAUCCAGCAGGGGAGUCGCUGUCACAUUCCCUGGGAAAUGAAUUCUUCCUGAUGGGAGUUCCAAACUAAAGUGGCCAGGGUGUCGCAGAAAGGGACGCUUUGGUGAGGAGACUCCAGAGUUUAAAAUAAAAAUAAAA